rnacentral:rRNA from 1 species
GAUGAACGCUGGCGGCGUGCCUAAUACAUGCAAGUCGAGCGAACAGACGAGGAGCUUGCUCCUUUGACGUUAGCGGCGGACGGGUGAGUGACACGUGGGUAACCUACCUAUAAGACUGGGAUAACUUCGGGAAACCGGAGCUAAUACCGGAUAAUAUUUCGAACCGCAUGGUUCGAUAGUGAAAGAUGGCUUUGCUAUCACUUAUAGAUGGACCUGCGCCGUAUUAGCUAGUUGGUAAGGUAACGGCUUACCAAGGCAACGAUACGUAGCCGACCUGAGAGGGUGAUCGGCCACACUGGAACUGAGACACGGUCCAGACUCCUACGGGAGGCAGCAGUAGGGAAUCUUCCGCAAUGGGCGAAAGCCUGACGGAGCAACGCCGCGUGAGUGAUGAAGGUCUUCGGAUCGUAAAACUCUGUUAUUAGGGAAGAACAAACGUGUAAGUAACUGUGCACGUCUUGACGGUACCUAAUCAGAAAGCCACGGCUAACUACGUG